CAGAGCUAACGCUGGUGGCGUGUCUUAGCCAUGCAAGUCGUGCGGACUAAGGGGAAACCCUUAGUCAGCGGCGGACGGCGGAGUAACACGUGACUAACCUGCCUUCGGGAUAGGGACAACCAUCCGAAAGGAUGGCUAAUCCCUAAUAUGUCCUUAUGGGGCAUCCCAUAAGGAUGAAAGGGGGCCUCUGGUUUUCAUGCUCCCGCCCGAAGAAGGGGUCGCGGCCCAUCAGGUAGUUGGUAGGGUAAUGGCCUACCAAGCCUAUGACGGGUAGCCGGCGUGAGAGCGUGGCCGGCCCGAGGGGCACUGAGACACGGGCCCCACUCCUAUGGGAGGCAGCAGGCUAGAAAUUUGGGCAAUGGGGGAAACCCUGACCCAGCGACGCCAUGUGGGGGAUGAAGCCCUUCGGGGUGUAAACCCCUGUCAGGGAGGAAGAAGGGAUAAUAGGUGAAUAACCUAUUAUCUUGACGGUACUCCCAGAGGAAGCCCUGGCUAACCUCGUGCCAGCAGCCGCGGUAAUACGGGGAGGGCGAGUGUUGCUCGGAUUUACUGAGCUUAAAGGGGAUGUAGGCGGUUUGGUGUGUCAGGCGUGAAAUCCACCGGCUUAACCGGUGGGCUGCGUCUGAUACUACCAAACUAGAGGGCGCCAGAGGAGAGUGGAACUCCCGGUGUAGCGGUAAAAUGCGUGGAUAUCGGGGGGAACACCAGUGGGGAAGCCGGCUCUCUGGGGCGUCCCUGACGCUGAGGUCCGAAAGCGUGGGGAGCAAAAGGGAUUAGAUACCCCUGUAGUCCACGCUGUAAACGAUGCGGACUUGGCAUUCUCUUCGUAAGAAGGGGGUGCCGGAGGGAAACCGUUAAGUCCGCCGCCUGGGGACUACGCUCGCAAGGGUGAAACUCAAAGGAAUUGACGGAGGGGCGCACAAGCGGUGGAGCGCGUGGUUCAAUUCGAUGCUGACCGAAGAAUCUUACCUGGGCUUGACAUGCAGGUGGUACCCCGAUGGAAACAUUGGGGGAACCCUCUGGGUAGCCUGCACAGGUGCUGCACGGCUGUCGUCAGCUCGUGCCGUGAGGUGUUGGGUUAAGUCCCGCAACGAGCGCAACCCCUGCCCUUAGUUGCUACCAGAUCCCUUUUUGGGGAUGCUGGGCACUCUAAGGGGACUGCCGCCGAUGAGGCGGAGGAAGGUGGGGAUGACGUCGAGUCCGUGUGGCCUUUAUGCCCAGGGCUACACACGCGCUACAAUGGGCAGUACAGAGGGAUGCAAACCCGCAAGGGGGAGCAAAUCCCUAAAACUGCCCUCAGUUCGGAUCGGGGUCUGUAACUCGACCCCGUGAAGCCGGAAUCGCUAGUAAUCGCCAGUCAGCAAUAUGGCGGUGAAUACGUUCCCGCCCCUUGUACACACCGCCCGUCACGCCAUGG
rnacentral:rRNA from 1 species